rnacentral:rRNA from 1 species
AUUGAACGCUGGCGGCAUGCUUUACACAUGCAAGUCGAACGGUAACAGGCCUUCGGGUGCUGACGAGUGGCGAACGGGUGAGUAAUACAUCGGAACGUGCCCAGAGGUGGGGGAUAACGCAGCGAAAGCUGUGCUAAUACCGCAUGUGAUCUGAGGAUGAAAGCGGGGGACCAGGCAGCAAUGUUUGGCCUCGCGCCUUUGGAGCGGCCGAUGUCAGAUUAGGUAGUUGGUGGGGUAAAGGCCUACCAAGCCGACGAUCUGUAGCUGGUCUGAGAGGACGACCAGCCACACUGGGACUGAGACACGGCCCAGACUCCUACGGGAGGCAGCAGUGGGGAAUUUUGGACAAUGGGCGCAAGCCUGAUCCAGCAAUGCCGCGUGCGGGAAGAAGGCCUUCGGGUUGUAAACCGCUUUUGUACGGAACGAAAAGGCUCUGGCUAAUACCUGGGGCUGAUGACGGUACCGUAAGAAUAAGCACCGGCUAACUACGUG